rnacentral:lncRNA from 1 species
AUUACGUGUGUUUGUGAUGUGUAACAUAUAUCCCUAAUCAGUUAUUCAAGUUAUUAACUUUAAUUUACCGCUAGCGAUUACACCGACACAAGUGUAAUUCAAUCGCUAUUAAUGUUGAACUUGAACUUCAACAACGUGACACAACAUUAAAAGUCAGGCAUCGACAUGGUUCCUAAAGAAUAAAUCAAAGGUCCUUGUCCAUUUCUGUUCAGGACAUGUAACCAGUUUUAUCCAACCAGAGACCGGAGUAAAGUGACGACUUCCGGUUUCAAUGCGGUAUCUCUGGGCCAUGCGUUAUCUCUGCCGACAGCCAUACCAGGGUCCGUAGGCAUAUUACUGGUUAUGUAGGUUUGGCUGAAGCUGCCGGGUUUCUACUGACUGCCGAACUAUGGAGGAUGACAAGCAGAACACAGACACUCAGCCUGAUGACCCUGGCUUUGUCUCUACGGAUCAACACAUGCAGACACAAGAAGCUGGAACAGGAAGGUUUCCAGCCAUCAUGUCAGUUUUGUCACAACUCUGUAAGUUUCUUUCUGUCCUCUCUCUCUCUCUCUCACACACACACACACACACACACAUACACACCAUAGGAUUCAACUUCAUGGGUGCUCUUUAACUUCAGCACACAGAAUAUGUACAACAACACUACACCAUCUGUUGACCACCCUGAAUUACUUUCAUAAGUUGACCCCAGUUAGGCACACAUACAUGUGCAGACAUUGUACACAUUAAUGUCUUUUCAUAUUCUAGUGUCAUCCUGGUGUGGGACAUUCAAUGUGUGCAAAGUGUUGUUGGACGGGUAAUAAAAACAGAAAUAGGAGAAAAGAAAAAUUGACA